UUACGGGAGGCAGCAGUGGGGAAUAUUGGACAAUGGGCGAAAGCCUGAUCCAGCCAUGCCGCGUGUGUGAAGAAGGCCUUCGGGUUGUAAAGCACUUUCAGUGGGGAAGAAAGCCUUGGGGCUAAUACCCUCGAGGAAGGACAUCACCCACAGAAGAAGCACCGGCUAACUCCGUGCCAGCAGCCGCGGUAAUACGGAGGGUGCGAGCGUUAAUCGGAAUUACUGGGCGUAAAGCGCGCGUAGGCGGUCUGAUAAGCCGGUUGUGAAAGCCCCGGGCUCAACCUGGGAACGGCAUCCGGAACUGUCAGGCUAGAGUGCAGGAGAGGAAGGUAGAAUUCCCGGUGUAGCGGUGAAAUGCGUAGAGAUCGGGAGGAAUACCAGUGGCGAAGGCGGCCUUCUGGACUGACACUGACGCUGAGGUGCGAAAGCGUGGGUAGCAAACAGGAUUAGAUACCCGAGUGUC
rnacentral:rRNA from 1 species